UGUGUAGGUGGUUGGAUAAGUUAGAUGUGAAAUCCCUGGGCUUAACCUGGGAACUGCGUUUAAAACUGUUCAGCUAGAGUACUGUAGAGGAUAGUGGAAUUUCCAGUGUAGCGGUGAAAUGCGUAGAUAUUGGAAGGAACACCAGUGGCGAAGGCGACUAUCUGGACAGAUACUGACACUGAGACACGAAAGCUGGGGAGCAAACA
rnacentral:rRNA from 1 species